GGAUCGAUGAUGACUUCCAUGUAUACAUUCCUUGGAAAGCUGAACAAAACGAGUGAAAACUCUAUACCGGCUAUCCCCGCCGAACUGAGGUCC
rnacentral:snoRNA from 1 species